UACAAAGACGACUGGACCAAACUCUAGGAAAACCCGGCAGUUACCACCACGGCGUGGACAAGAAAGGAAACAUAAAACCAAUGACAAUAGGAGCUCGCCUUUACAGAUUGGAAAACCAGAUCAGCCAUGUGGACAAACGAUUAGAUGAUAUACACAAAGUUCUUCAGCUUCUGGCAGAGAAUAGAUGAACAAAUAACCAGUGGAUUAAACAAAUAAAGCAAAAAAGAAUCAGAAAUAGACAAAAAUUAAAGUAAAGAUAUUCAUAAAAAAGAAAAACUUUUGCAUUAAAAAAAGCAAGGACUUCAUUAGAAUCCAAAAAAAAACCAAGAUAAAACCUUCUUUAAAACUCAAAAAAUGAAGAAUAAUUAACAGAAAUGAGGAGAAAUAGGAAAAAUUAAACACUUUUAAAGAUUACCAGAAGUGUCAAAUUAAAUGUAUAAAAAUGUUUAAAGUGCCAGUUGUCGUCAAACUACAUAUAUACUCAAUAUUUGAGGAUCUAGUUCAAAGAGGAUAAAUAGAUUAUAGAGUUGUCACUAUCGGUAAAAUCACCUGAUUGUAUAGUGUAUACACAGUGAGACACGUAAAACUUUGGAAGGAUGCAUUUUAGACUCAAGAGUCUUGUUAUGAUUUAAAUAGUACAAUGAAAAUGCAAUUCCUCAUUGUGCACAGACACUUUUCAUUUAAAAAAUUGGUCUUAAAGCGAAGGGUAAAAUUCUUGCCUUAGACCAACAUGAAAUAAAUAUAAAAUUGCUUAAAACAAUUUAGUCUUUGCCACAAACUCAAAUUUCCUAAUCCCUAAAUCAUUG